GGACACAAGCCAUGCAUGCCCGCACACCCGGGAAGCGGCGGACGGCUCAGGACAACGGUUGCACCCCCCGCGGCGGUCCCUGCUAGCCGGACACCGCUGGCAACCCGGCGCCAAGACGUGCGCGYAAGUGCGGACGCCCGCGGGCGAGCAGCGUGACGCAGCGACGGCCCGCCCGGGCUUCCGGGGCAUCAUCCGGUCGAUCCUGCC
rnacentral:rRNA from 1 species